UAUUACACUGAUACGUUAGGCCGGGCCAUGUUACAAAUGGCAACAGCUAUUACUCCUUCCGUUCCUAAGUUUUCCCCAACUAUAAUUAUUUUGAUACAGAGGGAGUAUAAGUUUUUUUUUAAAGAUUUCACUAGGGGACUACUGCCGGAAUCGGGGUUUCGCAGACCCAAGGAAAGGUUCGAACACUCAAGUGUGCUUGCUUUCCAACCCUGUUCGACCUCUCAAACUCA
rnacentral:lncRNA from 1 species